AGCCAUGUGGUGAAUACAGAGCGAACUACUUUUUCACCUUUUACUAAAUAAUACCGUGUAUUCUCCACUUCAAGUGGCAUACGCAUAUUUUUGGAAGAUGACUUUCUUUUAGAAGGUCC